GCCAUCUUAGCUCAGUUGGUAGAGCAGCGGUUUUGUAAACCGCAGGUCGUCGGUUCGAGUCCGACAGAUGGCU
rnacentral:tRNA from 2 species